rnacentral:rRNA from 1 species
UACAGAGGGUGCGAGCGUUAAUCGGAUUUACUGGGCGUAAAGGGCGCGUAGGCGGUUAUGUAAGUGAGAUGUGAAAUCCCUGGGCUUAACCUAGGAACUGCAUCUCAUACUGCGUAGCUAGAGUAUUGUAGAGGGUAGUGGAAUUUCCGGUGUAGCGGUGAAAUGCGUAGAUAUCGGAAGGAACACCAGUGGCGAAAGCGGCUUCCUGGUCCAGCACCGACGUUCAGGCACGAAAGCGUGGGGAGCAAACAGG